AUAACAAUACAUGACUCUGUUGAGGACCUGUAAUUGAAAUAAGUACACUUUAAAUCCUUUAACGAGGAUCUAUUGGAGGGCAAGUCUUGUGCAGAGCGACUGACCCAUGCGUGCUGCAG